UUACCAAACUGUUGCCUCGGCGGGGUCACGCCCCGGGUGCGUCGCAGCCCCGGAACCAGGCGCCCGCCGGAGGAACCAACCAAACUCUUUCUGUAGUCCCCUCGCGGACGUAUUUCUUACAGCUCUGAGCAAAAAUUCAAAAUGAAUCAAAACUUUCAACAACGGAUCUCUUGGUUCUGGCAUCGAUGAAGAACGCAGCGAAAUGCGAUAAGUAAUGUGAAUUGCAGAAUUCAGUGAAUCAUCGAAUCUUUGAACGCACAUUGCGCCCGCCAGUAUUCUGGCGGGCAUGCCUGUCCGAGCGUCAUUUCAACCCUCGAACCCCUCCGGGGGAUCGGCGUUGGGGAUCGGGACCCCUCACACGGGUGCCGGCCCCGAAAUACAGUGGCGGUCUCGCCGCAGCCUCUCCUGCGCAGUAGUUUGCACAACUCGCACCGGGAGCGCGGCGCGUCCACGUCCGUAAAACACCCAACUUUCUGAAAUGUUGACCUCGGAUCAGGUAGGAAUACCCGCUGAACUUAAGCAUAU
rnacentral:rRNA from 1 species